UACGGGGGGGGCAAGCGUUGUUCGGAAUUACUGGGCGUAAAGGGCUCGUAGGCGGCCAACUAAGUCGGACGUGAAAUCCCCAGGCUCAACCUGGGAACUGCGUCUGAUACUGGAUGGCUUGAAUCCGGGAGAGGGAUGCAGAAUUCCAGGUGUAGCGGUGAAAUGCGUAGAUAUCUGGAGGAAUACCGGUGGCGAAGGCGGCAUCCUGGACCGGCAUUGACGCUGAGGCGCGAAAGCCAGGGGAGCAAACGGG
rnacentral:rRNA from 1 species